GGUUCCAUGGUCUAGUGGUCAGGACAUAGGACUCUGAAUCCAGUAACCCGAGUUCAAAUCUCGGUGGAACCU
rnacentral:tRNA from 1 species